UACGUAGGCAGCGAGCGUUGUUCGGAGUUACUGGGCGUAAAGAGUGCGUAGGCGGUUUUCUAAGUUUGGUGUGAAAUCUCCCGGCUUAACUGGGAGGGUGCGCCGAAAACUGGAAGGCUUGAGUAUGGGAGAGGUAAGCGGAAUUCCUGGUGUAGCGGUGAAAUGCGUAGAUAUCAGGAGGAACACCUGCGGUGUAGACGGCUCUCUGGACCGUAACUGACGCUGAGACACGAAAGCGUGGGUAGCAAACAGG
rnacentral:rRNA from 1 species